rnacentral:rRNA from 2 species
UCGUAGACCCGAAACCAGGUGAUCUACCCUUGGUCAGGUUGAAGUUCAGGUAACACUGAAUGGAGGACCGAACCGACUUACGUUGAAAAGUGAGCGGAUGAACUGAGGGUAGCGGAGAAAUUCCAAUCGAACCUGGAGAUAGCUGGUUCUCUCCGAAAUAGCUUUAGGGCUAGCCUCAAGUGAUGAUUAUUGGAGGUAGAGCACUGUUUGGACGAGGGGCCCCUCUCGGGUUACCGAAUUCAGACAAACUCCGAAUGCCAAUUAAUUUAACUUGGGAGUCAGAACAUGGGUGAUAAGGUCCGUGUUCGAAAGGGAAACAGCCCAGACCACCAGCUAAGGUCCCAAAAUAUAUGUUAAGUGGAAAAGGAUGUGGCGUUGCCCAGACAACUAGGAUGUUGGCUUAGAAGCAGCCAUCAUUUAAAGAGUGCGUAAUAGCUCACUAGUCGAGUGACACUGCGCCGAAAAUGUACCGGGGCUAAACAUAUUACCGAAGCUGUGGAUUGUCCUUUGGACAAUGGUAGGAGAGCGUUCUAAGGGCGUUGAAGCAUGAUCGUAAGGACAUGUGGAGCGCUUAGAAGUGAGAAUGCCGGUGUGAGUAGCGAAAGACGGGUGAGAAUCCCGUCCACCGAUUGACUAAGGUUUCCAGAGGAAGGCUCGUCCGCUCUGGGUUAGUCGGGUCCUAAGCUGAGGCCGACAGGCGUAGGCGAUGGAUAACAGGUUGAUAUUCCUGUACCACCUAUAAUCGUUUUAAUCGAUGGGGGGACGCAGUAGGAUAGGCGAAGCGUGCGAUUGGAUUGCACGUCUAAGCAGUAAGGCUGAGUAUUAGGCAAAUCCGGUACUCGUUAAGGCUGAGCUGUGAUGGGGAGAAGACAUUGUGUCUUCGAGUCGUUGAUUUCACACUGCCGAGAAAAGCCUCUAGAUAGAAAAUAGGUGCCCGUACCGCAAACCGACACAGGUAGUCAAGAUGAGAAUUCUAAGGUGAGCGAGCGAACUCUCGUUAAGGAACUCGGCAAAAUGACCCCGUAACUUCGGGAGAAGGGGUGCUCUUUAGGGUUAACGCCCAGAAGAGCCGCAGUGAAUAGGCCCAAGCGACUGUUUAUCAAAAACACAGGUCUCUGCUAAACCGUAAGGUGAUGUAUAGGGGCUGACGCCUGCCCGGUGCUGGAAGGUUAAGAGGAGUGGUUAGCUUCUGCGAAGCUACGAAUCGAAGCCCCAGUAAACGGCGGCCGUAACUAUAACGGUCCUAAGGUAGCGAAAUUCCUUGUCGGGUAAGUUCCGACCCGCACGAAAGGCGUAACGAUUUGGGCACUGUCUCAACGAGAGACUCGGUGAAAUCAUAGUACCUGUGAAGAUGCAGGUUACCCGCGACAGGACGGAAAGACCCCGUGGAGCUUUACUGUAGCCUGAUAUUGAAAUUCGGCACAGCUUGUACAGGAUAGGUAGGAGCCUUUGAAACGUGAGCGCUAGCUUACGUGGAGGCGCUGGUGGGAUACUACCCUAGCUGUGUUGGCUUUCUAACCCGCACCACUUAUCGUGGUGGGAGACAGUGUCAGGCGGGCAGUUUGACUGGGGCGGUCGCCUCCUAAAAGGUAACGGAGGCGCUCAAAGGUUCCCUCAGAAUGGUUGGAAAUCAUUCAUAGAGUGUAAAGGCAUAAGGGAGCUUGACUGCGAGACCUACAAGUCGAGCAGGGUCGAAAGACGGACUUAGUGAUCCGGUGGUUCCGCAUGGAAGGGCCAUCGCUCAACGGAUAAAAGCUACCCCGGGGAUAACAGGCUUAUCUCCCCCAAGAGUUCACAUCGACGGGGAGGUUUGGCACCUCGAUGUCGGCUCAUCGCAUCCUGGGGCUGUAGUCGGUCCCAAGGGUUGGGCUGUUCGCCCAUUAAAGCGGUACGCGAGCUGGGUUCAGAACGUCGUGAGACAGUUCGGUCCCUAUCCGUCGUGGGCGUAGGAAAUUUGAGAGGAGCUGUCCUUAGUACGAGAGGACCGGGAUGGACAUACCUCUGGUGUACCAGUUGUCGUGCCAACGGCAUAGCUGGGUAGCUAUGUGUGGACGGGAUAAGUGCUGAAAGCAUCUAAGCAUGAAGCCCCCCUCAAGAUGAGAUUUCCCAACUUCGGUUAUAAGAUCCCUCAAAGAUGAUGAGGUUAAUAGGUUCGAGGUGGAAGCAUGGUGACAUGUGGAGCUGACGAAUACUAAUCGAUCGAAGACUUAAUCAA